AUGGGUUUCUUCCUUGUUGAUCUUGAAUUGCUGCUUGCUGGAACCGUUAAACCCAAAGCUUCGAUGUGAUAUUUUAUUAAAAUUUCAAGUUGAAAAUUAGCUUUCAUAGUUUAGUAGCCUAAUAUACUAAAAAACAUUUUGGCUUUUUAUGUGGUUAACAUAACAACAUAGUGCAAUAAGGUCCACCUUGUAUGAUGUGACUAUCUUAUUCAAUAUUCUGAUUUUGAGAAAAGCAUUUGCCAAUCAUAUCAAACGUCCACCUUGUAUGAUGUGACUAUCUUCUUAUUCAAUAUUUGUGGUUUUGAGGAAAGCAUUUGCCCAUCAUAUCAAUUGUAAGUAAUAUUUGAGGAGACAUUAUUAUGCUUUUCUUACAAUUAUUAUCAACUGUUACUACUAACUGUCAAGUCAAUAGUAACAGUAUUAACUAUUAAUUUAUGGCCUAUCAAGCAGCAUACUAAAGCUAAUAUAAUAGUCCAGGCAAUGGAUGCUCAAAAAAGGGUAUAGAGGGGAAUGUUUGGAAGACAAUUUCUUACCCCGCAGUUCUGUUUAGGGUAUUUAAGGAGGUGAACAUAGAAAAGUGCAAUUUUCAUUGCUGCAACAAGUGUUAACUCAGCGGUUCCACACCUUCAACAGAGGAGAUAAAGAUGCACACUUUUGGCAUGUUCACCUACUAACUGGUCCAAAUUAAGCUGCAAAGUCAAAAAUUGUUUCACAGACACCCCCCUUCAAAUGUGAUUUUCAAACGAUCAAUUGUUGCAGCAAUGAAAAUUUCACCCCCUACAUUGAAGCUGCUAUAACAAUGAAAGGAAAACUUGGAAUAGUGAAAUAAUGCAUCAUUUCAAAGAGAAUUCAAUGCUCUAUAA